rnacentral:rRNA from 1 species
CGCUGGCGGUCUGCUUAACACAUGCAAGUCGAACGGGAAUCUUCGGAUUCUAGUGGCGGACGGGUGAGUAACGCGUGAGAAUCUGGCCUCAGGAUGGGGACAACAGCUGGAAACGGCUGCUAAUACCCAAUGUGCCGAGAGGUGAAACUUAUAUGGCCUGAGGAUGAGCUCGCGUCUGAUUAGCUAGUUGGUGGGGUAAGAGCCCACCAAGGCGACGAUCAGUAGCUGGUCUGAGAGGAUGAUCAGCCACACUGGGACUGAGACACGGCCCAGACUCCUACGGGAGGCAGCAGUGGGGAAUUUUCCGCAAUGGGCGAAAGCCUGACGGAGCAAGACCGCGUGGGGGAAGAAGGUUUGUGGAUUGUAAACCCCUUUUGAUUGGGAAGAUGAUGACGGUACCAAUCGAAUCAGCCUCGGCUAACUCCGUGCCAGCAGCCGCGGUAAUACGGAGGAGGCAAGCGUUAUCCGGAAUUAUUGGGCGUAAAGCGUCCGUAGGUGGUGAUUCAAGUCUUUUGUCAAAGCGUGGAGCUUAACUCCAUACGGGCAGGAGAAACUGGGUUGCUAGAGUGCGAUAGGGGCAAGGGGAAUUCCCAGUGUAGCGGUGAAAUGCGUAGAUAUUGGGAAGAACACCGGUGGCGAAAGCGCCUUGCUGGGUCUGCACUGACACUGAGGGACGAAAGCUAGGGGAGCGAAAGGGAUUAGAUACCCCUGUAGUCCUAGCUGUAAACGAUGGGUACUAGGCGUUGUCCGUAUCGACCCGGGCAGUGCCGUAGCUAACGCGUUAAGUACCCCGCCUGGGGAGUACGCUCGCAAGAGUGAAACUCAAAG